AACGUAGGUCACAAGCGUUGUCCGGAAUUACUGGGUGUAAAGGGAGCGCAGGCGGGGAGACAAGUUGGGAGUGAAAUCUAUGGGCUCAACCCAUAAAUUGCUUUCAAAACUGUUUUUCUUGAGUAGUGCAGAGGUAGGCGGAAUUCCCGGUGUAGCGGUGGAAUGCGUAGAUAUCGGGAGGAACACCAGUGGCGAAGGCGGCCUACUGGGCACCAACUGACGCUGAGGCUCGAAAGUAUGGGUAGCAAACAGG
rnacentral:rRNA from 1 species